rnacentral:tRNA from 1 species
UGCCGGAGUGGCGAAAUCGGUAGACGCAGUUGAUUCAAAAUCAAACCGUAGAAAUACGUGCCGGUUCGAGUCCGCCUUCGGCACC